UUGUGCACAUUCUUCAAACUUUGACACUGCAAAGAUUUCCCCAGUGCUUAGCAGACAGCUGGGCUGCGUCCUGCUCCCAGCGUGGACACAUCCCCCAUUGCGAGCCAUGGGAGCAGGAUUAGUCCAGUGUUGGCGCUUGCAUGGGACACACUGGUUGCAGAGGCUCCAGGGAGCGUGCCAGGGCCCCAGGGAACAGCAAGUGUGAAAUCCUGGCUUGGCUCCACAGAAGCAGGGGGCUGCAGAGUUGCAGCUGGGACAGUUCCCCACCUCCCCUUGGCACAGCAUCCAGCACAGAGCAGGGACAGCACCAGCCCUACAAACGGAUUUCAAAGGGAGGCAGACAAGAUUCUGGAGCUCCAAAGCCAGGGCGAGAGACACCCCUCGGUUCCCUCAGGCCCUUCCAAUUCUGCUUCACACCGUCCCUCAAAUCAAGUCUGUAAUAAAGUGAUGCUUUAUCAGGAAAACGGGGCCUUGAGCUCAGAAGAGGAGGCUCCCCAUGACACUCAGGCAGAGUAAAGCAAGAAAGAUCCACCUCCAACAUACCUACUCCAUGUCUCCUGGCACCCCCCAUCACAGCACAUCCUGGGCUUUGUGGGGAAGUAUAUGUGAGCCUGGUGGAGAGUAUUUUCCACUGAAUGCAUCCGAUGAAGUGAGCUGUAGCUCACGAAAGCUUAUGCUCAAAUAAAUUUGUUAGUCUCUAAGGUGCCACAAGUACUCCCUUUUCUUUUUGCGAAUACAGACUAACACGGCUGCUACUCUGAAAUCUGGUGGAGAGUGUGUGUCUAUGGAGAAGGGAGUGUGUAUAGACAGGAGCAAUGUAAGUGUGUGGAGAGGCGAGGGCAUGAGGGAUCCCCUGAGAGUGCCAGGGAUCAUGGAGAACGUCUCAUCACUGAGUGAUGAGGACACCACUACCUGAAUGCAGGAUACAGCGUGAGAUCGCAGAGACAGCAUCCUUCUCCAGAAAUCAAGUCUGUAAUCAAGUGA